GGAGUGCUGUCCUUUUUGGAAUGAUAUAUUGGAGAAUUAGAGUUGGACCUGCUAGAUUCAUAUAUAAGAAACUUGGGUGAAAAAAGAAAGGAAAGUUGAUAGUUAGUAGGCACCAUUGCAAGAGGGGCGAUAUGGAUUAGAAAACUACAGAUGAAUGAGAGACGAAAUGACCUUGUUGAUGAUGCAAGGCAAGCUAGCAUAGAUAGUUGUAAAACUGGGGAAAAACAUGACAUAGACAAGAUGGUAGGCGAAAGGAUAUCGACAAUAUGAGACAAGGAGAAAUAUUUUCAGAACCGGAUCGGAUAUUGAACUGGUCAUAAGGACGGUUCACAAUCCAACUGGUCACAGUGAACUGAAAAAAUUGAACGUUUUACAAAUACUAGAACGGUACCCACGCGGUGCGGCGGUGGUGAAGGUAGAGGUAAUGUUGACGGCGACGGUGGUGGCAGUGACGGAUAGUGGUGGCGGCGAGUAG